CUACGGGAGGCAGCAGUGAGGAAUAUUGGACAAUGGGCGCAAGCCUGAUCCAGCCAUGCCGCGUGCAGGAAGAAGCAUCUAUGGUGUGUAAACUGCUUUUGUACAGGAAGAAACACUCCCUCGUGAGGGAGCUUGACGGUACUGUAAGAAUAAGGAUCGGCUAACUCCGUGCCAGCAGCCGCGGUAAUACGGAGGAUCCAAGCGUUAUCCGGAAUCAUUGGGUUUAAAGGGUCCGUAGGCGGUUUGAUAAGUCAGUGGUGAAAGCCCAUCGCUCAACGAUGGAACGGCCAUUGAUACUGUCAGACUUGAAUUACAAGGAAGUAACUAGAAUAUGUAGUGUAGCGGUGAAAUGCUUAGAUAUUACAUGGAAUACCAAUUGCGAAGGCAGGUUACUACUUGUGGAUUGACGCUGAUGGACGAAAGCGUGGGGAGCGAACAGGAUUAGAUACCCUGGU
rnacentral:rRNA from 1 species